AAAGGAAAGACCGGUGCAAGCGGGACAGUAGCCAUGCAGGCAAAUCCGUGUGGCAAUACGAAGGCGUGACGCGGACCGAAAUAAAGUAGGGAAGCAUGUGAGCCAUGUGCCAAGAAAAGCCGCUAUAGAUCAUAUCGUACCCGUACCGUAAACCGACACAGGUAGAUGAGGAGAGAAUCCUAAGGCCGACGGGAGAAGCAUUGUUAAGGAACUCGGCAAAAUGACCCCGUAACUUCGGGAGAAGGGGUGCCCACGCGAGUGGGCCGCAGAGAAUAGGCUCAAGCAACUGUUUAGCAAAAACACAGGUCUAUGCGAAACCGAAAGGUGAGGUAUAUGGGCUGACGCCUGCCCGGUGCUGGAAGGUUAAGAGGAGGAGUCAGGCAACGAAGCCCCGAAUUUAAGCCCCAGUAAACGGCGGCCGUAACUUUAACGGUCCUAAGGUAGCGAAAUUCCUUGUCGGGUAAGUUCCGACCCGCACGAAAGGCGUAAUGAUUUGAGCACUGUCUCGACAAUGCACCCGGUGAAAUUGAAGUACCAGUGAAGAUGCUGGUUACCUGCGCCAGGACGGAAAGACCCCAUGGAGCUUUACUCCAGUUUGAUACUGGGAUUCGAUACUGAAUGUACAGGAUAGGUGGGAGGCUGAGAAGCGUGGACGCCAGUCUGCGGUGAGCCGCUGUUGGGAUACCACCCUUUGAGUAUUGGAUUUCUAACCUGCGCCCGUGACCCGGGCGGGGGACAAUGUCUGACGGGGAGUUUGACUGGGGCGGUCGCCUCCGAAAGGGUAUCGGAGGCGCUCAAAGGUUCCCUCAGAAUGGUUGGAAACCAUUCGCAGAGUGCAAAGGCAGAAGGGAGCUUGACUGUGACACCGACGGGUGGAGCAGGUACGAAAGUAGGACUUAGUGAUCCGGUGGUAUGAAAGUGGGAUUGCCAUCGCUCAACGGAUAAAAGCUACCCUGGGAUAACAGGCUUAUCACUCCCAGGAGUUCACAUCGACGGAGUGGUUUGGCACCUCGAUGUCGGCUCAUCGCAUCCUGGGGCUGUAGCAGGUCCCAAGGGUUGGGCUGUUCGCCCAUUAAAGCGGUACGCGAGCUGGGUUCAGAACGUCGUGAGACAGUUCGGUCCCUAUCCGGCGCAGGCGUAGGAUAUUUGAGAGGAGCUGUCCUUAGUACGAGAGGACCGGGAUGGACAGACCGCUGGUGUAUCUGUUGGUGACCAACACCAUGGCAGAGUAGCCAAGUCUGGCAGGGAUAAACGCUGAAGGCAUCUAAGCGUGAAGCCCCCCUCAAGAUGAGAUAUCCCAAUAAGUAAGACCCCUUAGAGAGUAUGAGGUAGAUAGGCUUAAGGUGUAAGCAUAGUAAUAUGUUCAGCUGAUAAGUACUAAUAGGUCGAGGGCUUAUC
rnacentral:rRNA from 1 species